rnacentral:rRNA from 1 species
UCCUACGGGGGGCAGCAGUGAGGAAUAUUGGUCAAUGGACGAGAGUCUGAACCAGCCAAGUAGCGUGAAGGAUGACUGCCCUAUGGGUUGUAAACUUCUUUUAUAUGGGAAUAAAACAGGGUAUGCAUACCCUCUUGUAUGUACCAUAUGAAUAAGGAUCGGCUAACUCCGUGCCAGCAGCCGCGGUAAUACGGAGGAUGCGAGCGUUAUCCGGAUUUAUUGGGUUUAAAGGGUGCGUAGGCGGGCUUUUAAGUCAGCGGUAAAAAUUCGGGGCUCAACCCCGUCCGGCCGUUGAAACUGGGGGC